CAGGAGAUUAGGAAGAGCAGCUGGUUAGCCUGUGACCUCCUCAAGCUAUGCAUCUAGAAAGGCCCAGUGCUGCAAAGGUGUCCCAUAAUCAUUAAAUUAUGAAAAUGACUUACCAAAGUCACCAGGACACUUCCCUCUGAUACAAGUUUAACCUCUGCAAGCCAUGGGCCUGAAAACCCCAGCCCAGAGACCCAGCUGUGAAAUACUCUCAGUAACACAGAUGUCUGCCAGCAAAUUAUGGCUUGAGACAGCUCGGAGGCUUGUGCAGCAGGAGACGCUGCUCUUAAGAUGCCUUGCCAGCUACAGUACAUGUUUUGCAAUGGCUGUUCAACCACAAUGCAGAUGGG